rnacentral:rRNA from 1 species
CCUACGGGAGUCAGCAGUGAGGAAUAUUGGUCAAUGGGCUUACGCCUGAACCAGCCAAGUCGCGUGAGGGAAGACUGCCCUAUGGGUUGUAAACCUCUUUUGUCAGGGAGCAACGCCGGCUACGUGUAGCCGGACUGAGAGUACCUGCAGAAAAAGCAUCGGCUAACUCCGUGCCAGCAGCCGCGGUAAUACGGAGGAUGCGAGCGGUAUCCGGAUUUAUUGGGUUUAAAGGGUGCGUCGGCGGAAUGCCGAGUCAGCGGUAAAAUCGCGGGGUGAAAACUCGCUCCGCCGUUGAAACUGGCGUUCUUGAGUGGGCGAGAAGUAUGCGGAAGUCGUGGUGUAGCGGUGAAAUGCAUAGAUAUCACGCAGAACUCCGAUUGCGAAGGCAGCUCACUGGACUGCAACUGACACUGAUGCUCGAAAGUGUGGGUAUCAAACAGGAUUAGAUACCCUUGUAGUC